AUGACGGUACUUGAGGAAUAAGCCACGGCUAAUUCCGUGCCAGCAGCCGCGGUAAUACGGGAGUGGCAAGCGUUAUCCGGAAUUAUUGGGCGUAAAGCGUCCGCAGGCGGCCUUGUAAGUCUGUCGUUAAAGCGUGGAGCUUAACUCCAUUUCAGCGAUGGAAACUACAAGGCUUGAGUGUGGUAGGGGCAGAGGGAAUUCCCGGUGUAGCGGUGAAAUGCGUAGAUAUCGGGAAGAACACCAGUGGCGAAGGCGCUCUGCUGGGCCAUAACUGACGCUCAUGGACGAAAGCCAGGGGAGCGAAAGGGAUUAGAUACC
rnacentral:rRNA from 5 species